UUUGUAGUAUAGGAGUUGGUAUCUCGGGGUAGUAUAAGGAGGAUGGGAGAGGGGAAGAAAUUGCCAGACUGUGAGAAUUGUGAGCCGAGGGCCAGAUUGUGAGAGUUGUGAGCCAGAGUAAGCUUGGUGCUACCUCUUUUCUUUUGUUUGUUAUUUUCUUUAAAUAAGAGGAUUGAAAGUUUCUGAAUAUUGUGAAGUGAAUUAUGGAAUAGAAAUGUGAUUGGUAUUAUUUAAGAAGAAGAAAGAUUGAAUGCUGAAAUCUGAUUGUAGUUUAGCAGAGAGAAUGAGUCUGUAUUUGUGUGAAAUACUGUAAUGUGAAUGGCAAUUAUAUGUGAAGAAUUCCAGUGAUUGGAACGAGGGUAAUUGUGUGUUGAAAGCUGUGAGGGCGCAAUAUUACAGUUGGAGAUUAUGAGGGUGAAUAUAUUAGUAGAAAUAGCAGUUAUUGGUAUGACUGAAUUGCUGUAAGGAAGAGAUCGAUAAGGUGAAGGAAGAGAUUGUAGUUUCGUUAAGUGUUCAGAUAUUGAAAAUAGAGACGAUACAUUUAGGAGGUAAUUGAUUGUGUGACACUAACAUGAACGCUUAAGCAACUAGUCAUUCCCCAUGUUUGAAUCUCCCUAUACGGGUUUAUGCUAGGAGGUUUCUUCCAGAAUAAGUAAAACGAGAAAUCACACCUACUAAAAAUUUUCUUGAUUGAAAAGCUAUUGGAUGAAGUUUGUCAUGUAAUCCUAUUUGUGAUAAGAUUGCAUCCAAAGCAAAGUUAAAUGCAUCUACCUCCAUAA
rnacentral:lncRNA from 1 species